rnacentral:rRNA from 1 species
GAUGAACGCUGGCGGCGUGCCUAAUACAUGCAAGUCGAGCGAACAGAUGAGGAGCUUGCUCCUCUGACGUUAGCGGCGGACGGGUGAGUAACACGUGGAUAACCUACCUAUAAUACUUGGAUAACUUCGGGAAACCGGAGCUAAUACCGGCUCAUAUAUUGAACCGCAUGGUUCAAUAGUGAAUGACGGCUUUCCUGUCACUUAUAGCUGGAUCCGCGCCGCAUUAGCUAGUUGGUAAGGUAACGGCUUACCAAGGCGACGAUGCGUAGCCGACCUGAGAGGGUGAUCGGCCACACUGGAACUGAGACACGGUCCAGACUCCUACGGGAGGCAGCAGUGGGGAAUCUUACGCAAUGGGCGAAAGCCUGACGCAGCAAUGCCGCGUGAGUGAUGAAGGUCUUCGGAUCGUAAAACUCUGUUGUUAGGGAAGAACAAAUGUGUAAGUAAAUAUGCACGUCUUGACGGUACCUAAUCAGAAAGCAACGGCUAACUACGUG